rnacentral:rRNA from 1 species
UGCAGUCGUACGAGAACACUUAGCUUGCUAGGGUAAGUAAAGUGGCGCACGGGUGAGUAACGCGUGGGUAAUCUACCUUCGAAUUGGGGAUAACGUUGCGAAAGCGACGCUAAUACCGAAUAACAUCCAUUAAUCUUCGGGUUUUUGGAUCAAGGGUGGCCUCUACAUGUAAGCUACUGUUUGAAGAUGAGCCCGCGUACCAUUAGCUUGUUGGUGGGGUAAUGGCCUACCAAGGCGUCGAUGGUUAGCUGGUCUGAGAGGAUGAUCAGCCACACUGGAACUGACACACGGUCCAGACUCCUACGGGAGGCAGCAGUGAGGAAUUUUGCGCAAUGGGGGAAACCCUGACGCAGCAACGCCGCGUGAGUGACGAAGGCUUUCGGGUCGUAAAGCUCUGUCAAGUGGGAAGAACCUAUGUAAUGUUAAUACCAUUAUAUACUGACGGUACCACUGAAGGAAGCACCGGCUAACUCCGUGCCAGCAGCCGCGGUAAUACGGGGGGUGCAAGCGUUAUUCGGAAUCAUUGGGCGUAAAGGGCACGUAGGCGGUUUGGUAAGUCAGAUGUGAAAGCCCGGGGCUUAACCCCGGAAGUGCAUUUGAUACUGCCAGGCUUGAGUAUGGGAGAGGGAAGUGGAAUUCCUGGUGUAGAGGUGAAAUUCGUAGAUAUCAGGAGGAACACCGGUGGCGAAGGCGACUUCCUGGACCAAUACUGACGCUGAGGUGCGAAGGCGUGGGUAGCAAAUAGGAUUAGAUACCCUGGUAGUCCACGCAGUAAACGUUGUUCACUAGGUGUAGCGGGUAUUGACCCCUGCUGUGCCGCAGUUA